rnacentral:rRNA from 1 species
AGUGAACGCUGGCGGUAGGCCUAACACAUGCAAGUCGAACGGCAGCACAGUAAGAGCUUGCUCUUACGGGUGGCGAGUGGCGGACGGGUGAGGAAUACAUCGGAAUCUACUUUUUCGUGGGGGAUAACGUAGGGAAACUUACGCUAAUACCGCAUACGACCUACGGGUGAAAGCAGGGGAUCUUCGGACCUUGCGCGAUUGAAUGAGCCGAUGUCGGAUUAGCUAGUUGGCGGGGUAAAGGCCCACCAAGGCGGCGAUCCGUAGCUGGUCUGAGAGGAUGAUCAGCCACAUUGGAACGGAGACACGGUCCAGACUCCUACGGGAGGCAGCAGUGGGGAAUAUUGGACAAUGGGCGCAAGCCUGAUCCAGCCAUACCGCGUGGGUGAAGAAGGCCUUCGGGUUGUAAAGCCCUUUUGUUGGGAAAGAAAAGCAGCAGGUUAAUACCCCGCUGUUCUGACGGUACCCAAAGAAUAAGCACCGGCUAACUUCGUG